UACGUAGGCAGCAAGCGUUGUUCGGAGUUACUGGGCGUAAAGGGUGUGUAGGCGGUUGUGUAAGUUUGGGGUGAAAUCUCCCGGCUCAACUGGGAGGGUGCGCCGAAUACUGAAUGACUAGAGUGCGGGAGAGGAAAGUGGAAUUCCUGGUGUAGCGGUGAAAUGCGUAGAUAUCAGGAGGAACACCGGUGGUGUAGACGGCUUUCUGGACCGUAACUGACGCUGAGACACGAAAGCGUGGGUAGCAAACAGG
rnacentral:rRNA from 1 species